rnacentral:rRNA from 1 species
AUUGAACGCUGGCGGCAUGCCUUACACAUGCAAGUCGAACGGCAUCGCGGGAAAGCUUGCUUUCCUGGCGGCGAGUGGCGAACGGGUGAGUAACACAUCGGAACGUACCGGCUAGUGGGGGAUAACCCGUCGAAAGACGGGCUAAUACCGCAUACGCUCUUCGGAGGAAAGCAGGGGACCUUUGGGCCUUGCACUAGCCGAGCGGCCGAUGUCCGAUUAGCUAGUUGGUGGGGUAAAGGCCUACCAAGGCGACGAUCGGUAGCGGGCCUGAGAGGACGAUCCGCCACACUGGGACUGAGACACGGCCCAGACUCCUACGGGAGGCAGCAGUGGGGAAUCUUGGACAAUGGGGGCAACCCUGAUCCAGCAAUGCCGCGUGGGUGAAGAAGGCCUUCGGGUUGUAAAGCCCUUUCGGCAGGGAAGAAAUCGGCGGGGCGAAUAACCCUGCUGGAUGACGGUACCUGCAGAAGAAGCACCGGCUAACUACGUG